GUUCCAGGAGCUCAGAAUGACCUAAAUGUCCUUGCCCAAUCUCCAGUGUUCGAUGAACUACUGUAAGGAAAAUCACCGAGGUGCACAUAUUGGAUUAAUGGUCAUUGUUUGUACCAUAUUUGACCAAUCCCGAAACUACCGAGCACCGGUCAACGUUAUACCGUUAAGGACCCAUAAGAGUUUCCCUCCAACCAGGAGGCCAAUCACAGCGUGACACGUGUCGACAUCAGAAACCAAUCAUAGCGCGACACAUGUUAAUAUCAGAAGCCAAUCACAACACGACAUGUGUUAAUGUUAGAACAAAGCUAUAAACUCUCUUCUAUAAAAGGAGAUCAUUCUCCCACAACAUUUCCUAAUGUCAUUUGUACUAAAUCAUUCACUAGUACUCACUAAAGGAGAGCUUGAACCUAUGUA
rnacentral:lncRNA from 1 species